CUAACAGCCAGGAUGCAGCUGGAGGAAGAAUCUUGACGCUUGCUUCUCUCCUACGCUCACAGGGAAGAAGCCUUUGCAAAGAAGAGGGAGAAAACAAUUCUGAGGGAGGAAUGUCCUGUACAGAAAGGGACAGAAGAAAACCCAGAGGCACCAUUGCCUGUAUGAUAGGCAGCUGUGGGAUCCUUUAACUAGAUAACAGCAGUAGGAAGGUCCUCUCCUUGAGACGCAGCUGGUCUGGCCAACAAACACUGUGAGGAAGAGCCAGGAACCUGUUUCUGAGCACCUCAGGGAUGAUGACUCCACCACCUCUCUGGGCAGCCCAUUCCAGCGCCUCACUAUGAUAUCAGGCUCAUCUCUGAGACUGCUGCCGGGAGAUCUGCACAUGUGGGGCUCUUCCUCCCUCUUUUGCCCUUGUGCCAGCAAUCCCCAUUGUGCCAGAAAUAGCCACGUUCUGUGCUUGGAUACCCUCCCUGCUUCAGCCUUAGAGUGAAAUCCUGGCCACCCUGCAGGUAGAAGGACACCGUUCCCCACCACACCAAGGUCAGGCUCUGCAAAUGAAUUAUUUCAGAAGUAUUCAACCUCCUCCGCCAAGGCAUCGAAGUCCCACCUCAUCCCAGAUCCCAUCCCUUUUUUGUUGGUACCAGAAAUUCAAAAGGUACUCAACAGGGAUACGGGCAAAGCUGGCUUUAGCUCAGUUCCCCAUGUUUGGCACCGCCAUUGUGCAGACAGCUUUACUGAAAAACCAGCCAUUGCCCCCCUUUCUCUCCAGCACUGUAAAGUGAUGUGGUGAGGCACUACUUCUGGUGCACUGAUAAUUGGAGUAAGUUACUUAAUUGGAGUAAGACUGACACAGCCUUUGUUCCACCAUUUGGCUACUUGCACUCACUGGAGGAACAGCUUAUUGAAAAAACACAAUAGAUUGUCCAACACUCCCACAAAAAUGGGCUCUCUCAUUAUCCAAACACAUCAUCUGCUGUCCCA
ensembl:lncRNA